rnacentral:rRNA from 1 species
CCUACGGGUGGCUGCAGUGGGGAAUAUUGCACAAUGGGCGCAAGCCUGAUGCAGCAACGCCGCGUGAGUGAAGAAGGCCUUCGGGUCGUAAAGCUCUGUCCUGUGGGACGAAACAAAUGACGGUACCACAGGAGGAAGCCCCGGCUAACUACGUGCCAGCAGCCGCGGUAAUUCGUAGGGGGCAAGCGUUAUCCGGAAUCACUGGGCGUAAAGGGUGCGUAGGUGGUUCCUCAAGUCAGAAGUGAAAGGCAGUGGCUUAACCACUGUAAGCUUUUGAAACUGAGGAACUUGAGUGCAGGAGAGGUAAGUGGAAUUCCUAGUGUAGCGGUGAAAUGCGUAGAUAUUAGGAGGAACACCAGUGGCGAAGGCGACUUACUGGACUGUAACUGACACUGAGGCACGAAAGCGUGGGGAGCGAACAGGAUUAGAUACCCCUGUAGUC